UUGUCUCAAAGAUUAAGCCAUGCAUGUCUCAGUACAAGCCGAAUUAAGGUGAAACCGCGAAAGGCUCAUUAAAUCAGUUAUGGUUCCUUAGAUCGUACCCACAUUUACUUGGAUAACUGUGGUAAUUCUAGAGCUAAUACAUGCAAACAGAGCUCCGACCGGAAACGGAAGGAGCGCUUUUAUUAGAUCAAAACCAAUCGGUGGCGGUUUCCGUCAUCGUACAACUUGGUGACUCUGAAUAACUUUACGCUGAUCGCACGGUCUCGCACCGGCGACGCAUCUUUCAAAUGUCUGCCUUAUCAACUGUCGAUGGUAGGUUCUGCGCCUACCAUGGUUGUAACGGGUAACGGGGAAUCAGGGUUCGAUUCCGGAGAGGGAGCCUGAGAAACGGCUACCACAUCCAAGGAAGGCAGCAGGCGCGCAAAUUACCCACUCCCGGCACGGGGAGGUAGUGACGAAAAAUAACGAUACGGGACUCAUCCGAGGCCCCGUAAUCGGAAUGAGUACACUCUAAAUCCUUUAACGAGGAUCAAUUGGAGGGCAAGUCUGGUGCCAGCAGCCGCGGUAAUUCCAGCUCCAAUAGCGUAUAUUAAAGUUGUUGCGGUUAAAAAGCUCGUAGUCGAAUCUGUGUCCCGCGCCGCCGGUUCAUCGUUCGCGGUGUCAACUGGCGAGCCGCGGGACGUCCUGCCGGUGGGCUUAGCUCGAGAGGGCGGCCCAACUCAAUCCCGCCGCGGUGCUCUUCAUUGAGUGUCGAGGUGGGCCGGCACGUUUACUUUGAACAAAUUAGAGUGCUUAAAGCAGGCUAAAACUUUGCCUGAAUACUGUGUGCAUGGAAUAAUGGAAUAGGACCUCGGUUCUAUUUUGUUGGUUUUCGGAACCCCGAGGUAAUGAUUAAUAGGAACGGAUGGGGGCAUUCGUAUUGCGACGUUAGAGGUGAAAUUCUUGGAUCGUCGCACGACGGACAG
rnacentral:rRNA from 1 species